rnacentral:rRNA from 1 species
UGCAAGUCGAGCGGAUGAAGAGAGCUUGCUCUCUGAUUCAGCGGCGGACGGGUGAGUAAUGCCUAGGAAUCUGCCUGGUAGUGGGGGACAACGUCUCGAAAGGGACGCUAAUACCGCAUACGUCCUACGGGAGAAAGCAGGGGACCUUCGGGCCUUGCGCUAUCAGAUGAGCCUAGGUCGGAUUAGCUAGUUGGUGAGGUAAUGGCUCACCAAGGCGACGAUCCGUAACUGGUCUGAGAGGAUGAUCAGUCACACUGGAACUGAGACACGGUCCAGACUCCUACGGGAGGCAGCAGUGGGGAAUAUUGGACAAUGGGCGAAAGCCUGAUCCAGCCAUGCCGCGUGUGUGAAGAAGGUCUUCGGAUUGUAAAGCACUUUAAGUUGGGAGGAAGGGCAGUAAGCGAAUACCUUGCUGUUUUGACGUUACCGACAGAAUAAGCACCGGCUAACUCUGUGCCAGCAGCCGCGGUAAUACAGAGGGUGCAAGCGUUAAUCGGAAUUACUGGGCGUAAAGCGCGCGUACGUGGUUUGUUAAAUUGAAUGUGAAAUCCCCGGGCUCAACCUGGGAACUGCAUCCAAAACUGGCAAG